rnacentral:rRNA from 1 species
GAUGAACGCUGGCGGCGUGCCUAAUACAUGCAAGUCGAGCGAACAGACGAGGAGCUUGCUCCUCUGACGUUAGCGGCGAACGGGUGAGUAACACGUGGAUAACCUACCUAUAAGACUGGGAUAACUUCGGGAAACCGGAGCUAAUACCGGAUAAUAUAUUGAACCGCAUGGUUCAAUAGUGAAAGACGGUUUUGCUGUCACUUAUAGAUGGAUCCGCGCCGCAUUAGCUAGUUGGUAAGGUAACGGCUUACCAAGGCGACGAUGCGUAGCCGACCUGAGAGGGUGAUCGGCCACACUGGAACUGAGACACGGUCCAGACUCCUACGGGAGGCAGCAGUAGGGAAUCUUCCGCAAUGGGCGAAAGCUUGACGGAGCAACGCCGCGUGAGUGAUGAAGGUCUUCGGAUCGUAAAACUCUGUUAUUAGGGAAGAACAAAUGUGUAAGUAACUAUGCACGUCUUGACGGUACCUAAUCAGAAAGCCACGGCUAACUACGUG